rnacentral:rRNA from 1 species
UGGGGAAUAUUGCACAAUGGGCGGAAGCCUGAUGCAGCAACGCCGCGUGAGUGAUGAAGGCCUUCGGGUUGUAAAGCUCUGUCUUUUGGGACGAUAAUGACGGUACCAAAGGAGGAAGCCACGGCUAACUACGUGCCAGCAGCCGCGGUAAUACGUAGGUGGCAAGCGUUGUCCGGAUUUACUGGGCGUAAAGGAUGCGUAGGCGGAUUUUUAAGUGAGAUGUGAAAUACCCGGGCUUAACUUGGGUGCUGCAUUUCAAACUGGGAAUUCUAGAGUGCGGGAGAGGAGAAUGGAAUUCCUAGUGUAGCGGUGAAAUGCGUAGAGAUUAGGAAGAACACCAGUGGCGAAGGCGAUUCUCUGGACCGUAACUGACGCUGAGGCAUGAAAGCGUGGGUAGCAAACAGGAUUAGAUACCCUGGUAGUCCACGCCGUAAACGAUGAGUACUAGGUGUAGGAGGUAUCGACCCCUUCUGUGCCGCAGUUAACACAAUAAGUACUCCGCCUGGGAAGUACGAUCGCAAGAUU